UACGUAGGGGGCAAGCGUUGUCCGGAAUCAUUGGGCGUAAAGAGCGUGUAGGCGGUUUGGUAAGGCCGCUGUGAAAGUCCAGGGCUCAACCCUGGAAAGCCGGUGGAAACUGUCAAGCUUGAGUCCGGAAGAGGCGAGUGGAAUUCCUGGUGUAGCGGUGAAAUGCGCAGAUAUCAGGAAGAACACCAAUGGCGAAGGCAGCUCACUGGGACGGUACUGACGCUGAGACGCGAAAGCGUGGGGAGCAAGCAGG
rnacentral:rRNA from 1 species